UCGCGCGUGGGCGGGGGAGCGCACUUCUCUCCGAGUAGGACGUCGCAACCCGUUGGAUGUCGGUCUAAGGUCCGGUGGAGAGCCUGUGCCGCGGGUUCGCCCCGCGGUGCAGAUCCCCGGUGUCCCGACCGACUGUCCGACGGUUUUGAACGCCUGGAACUGGCCCGCGCGCUUUUAACUAAGCUCGCGCUCGUACCUCGUGCAAGUUGUCGCGCUGAACUCCGUGCGGACUUGUCCGCCGCGAGCCGGCCGGCGCUGUUGGCGCGGGGAUUUCUCGAGCAGCGGCCUCCUCCAGUUUGCGACGCUCACAACUGGGCGGCCCACCCGGCCCGUCUUGAAACACGGACCAAGGAGUCUAACAUGUGCGCGAGUCAUUGGGCCCCACUAAACCCAAAGGCGUAUUGAACGAAAAGGCCGGACUCGUGCCGGCCGAGGGAAGAUGGAGGUUCGCUCGCGAGCCUCCCGCAUUCCCGGGGCGUCUCGUCUUACCGCAGGCUUGCCGGCGGAAAGUGAGGCGCACCAAGAGCGCACACGUUGGGACCCGAAAGAUGGUGAACUAUGCCUGGCCAGGACGAAGUCAGGGGAAACCCUGAUGGAGGUCCGUAGCGAUUCUGACGUGCAAAU
rnacentral:rRNA from 1 species